CGUUCCCGGGCCUUGUACACACUGCCCGUCACACCACGAGAGUUGGGUCUUCCAGAAGUCGUUCGAACUUAAUCGAGCGCCCAAGGAAGGACCGAUGAUUGGGGUG
rnacentral:rRNA from 1 species